rnacentral:tRNA from 1 species
AGGAGAGUAGCUCAUUGGUAGAGCAUCUGCCUAGCAUACACAAAGCCCUGGGUUCAAUUCCUAACACUGCAA